GUAAAAAUGAAAAGUUAUAGUAUGGAAAUGAUAAAUAUGUAAUUUUCCCUCGUCAAAGUCAGAUGAUGGUUCAUGGAAUGAGAGGAAGACAAGUAAGCAUCAGCGCUAUUAUUCUGUAGGCUCUCUCUGAGAUCUGUAACUAAAUAGACACGUCAUAAAGCUCACAGUGUCACGUGAACACGAAAGCCAAAAACAAAAUUUUCUAAAAUAUUUCUUGAAAAUGAUCAUUUUUAGCUCUGUGAUAUUUCAUAUUUGUAUUAACUUAAUGGGUUAAUUUAAUAAAAGUAAUAAUAAUAGGACUGCAAGUUUGUCAGAAGUCGGACAUCAGAGAGUUAGCACGUGUAUACAUUAUGUUAGAUAUGGACAACAGAGGCUAAGUCUUGUCACGUGAAAUGAAACACCAGUUGGCGUGGGCUUUUCACGCCCUUUUUCUCUAAUUUCUAUUUCUCUUACACCAUCUCCAACCCAGACCGCAAAACACUGCAUUAGUGUAAUUUUUAUACUAAAACAUCUCUAACUCAACUGUAAAAAUUACAUUAUUUUAGUGUUACACUAUAAUUUCACACCAAAUUUAGUGUGAUACACUAUUCACCACACUAAAAUACUAUUCACUCCAUUAAAACACUAUUCAUUUAUUUUAUUAAUAAAAUGUAUAAUUAAAUAAAUAAUAAGUUAAAACUUAAAAAUUAAAAAAUAUAAUAUUAUAAAAUAACUUUCAGUGUGAAGUUUAGUGUUGUGGUUGGAAAAUAAUAUUUUUCUAGUGGAGAAACUACACCAAAAUAGUAUAGCUUUGACACUAAAAUAAUGUUAUAGUUUGGAGAUGCUCUUAAGAUAAACACACACAAAAACUCUUUUGCAAAAUUUUGAAAUUACACAUAAAUAUCCCUCCUUUUUGCGAUAUAUAAUUUUCUUAUCGAAUUUUGAGACAAUUGACCUAUUCGAACGGUCUAAAUUUUUUCCGGCUAGAGUAAAACGUUGAGGCCAGUCAUUGUUUUCAUUAAAAUUGUCUUUUUACUGAAAAAUCAUAGGAGUAUUAUAUUUGGACUCACUUAUAAUAAUUUGGUUUAAUUUUUUUAUAACUAAAAGUAUUUUUUACAUUGUGAAAAGUUAAAUAACUAGAGGUCAUAAGCCUUUUUUUUACAAGGCCAUAAGCCUAUAAGCCUGUAAGUGCAUCUAUUUUCAAAGAAAGAAAGAGACAUACAUUAUGUUUAUCUCUUUGGUCAGCAGUAAUGUUACAUCAAAUGGCUAGUUGUUUUUGGACAAAAAGAAAAACAAAAUCAGUCAGAGCUACUAUAUAGAUAGAGUAGUAGUGACGAGCUACUUUUGGUAUGAUAAACAAUGGAGUAACUAAGAGUGUGAUUGGUUAAAAUAGAGUAAAUGGGAGUAAAUAUAAGUUGAGGUAGUGAGAGGAAAACAAAAGAUGGAAAACAGAGGAAAGAGAAAAAUGGAACCUAGAGUAAAAGUUUUCUCUUGACUAAAGUAGAGUAAUGUAUUACUCUAGAUUUACGCUAUUGUGGAGUAAAUUGACUAAAACCACUUUUCUCUUGAUUGGAUGAUAUCAUCGUAAUACAGCUGAAAAAUUGUUUUACUCUAAUAGAUUAUCGCCACAAGUGCUUUACAGUCAGAGCUUAAGUGUGUGAUUGAAAGACACAACUAGCGUUAAUAUUUUCGCUAGAAAUUAAUUACGCUGGCUUCAGCUGAUGAGUUCACCAGUCAGGUGAAAAAGAAAAUAAUUUUUAUUUUAUUCUUUUAAUCUGAUUAGAGCAUGUUUACUGGCGUAGUUUAGGAGAGUUGCUUAGGUAAAUUACGAUUAAAAAUAAAUGAAAAACAUGAAUUAAGCAAAGGGACAUUGCCUAAUUAGCACCGCGAAGCGUCCGUCCCUCGGCGCCACGCGUCGGAGCUUCAUUGGAGAGAGGAGAGAGAGAGAUGACACGAGUUGCGUCUCUUUUCUUUCUUUUCCUUUUUUUCCUUCUUUCUUUCUUCCUUCUCUCUUCUCCGACGCGAUCAAAAGGCGAUUUCACUUCUUCACGGUGGAUCUACUCAACGAAACGGUGUCUCUCUCGGUGGAUCUUGUCGGCUAACGAAAACGGCGUUCCUCUAUCGGUUCCUCUCCUCGACCAAGAAAAACAGCGAGAUCUCCCUGGUGGUGGCUCUUGGAGAGGAAGCAAAUCGGUGACUGUUGAUGCUCAGAAAAAUCGAAAGGUGGGUUGAUCAAGAGACAUGAUCGAGGCUGGACCUUUCUCUUUGUCAGACAAAACACCCACGAUAGUUCAUGAAGGUGGAGAGAGUUCAUGGGAGUGGAGCUGUUGUCAAUGACUGGUCACGGGAGUGGAGCUGUUUCUUGUCUUGUAGUUGUCAGGAGAGUGGAGCUGUUUCUUGUCUUGUAGUUGUAGAGGCAGUGGUCAUGUUUCAUGUAAUGUUGAGGUCAUGUUGUUUUGUAGUGGUCAGGAGAGUGGUCAUGUUUCAUGUAAAGUUGUGGUCAUGUUGUUUUGUAGUGGUCACGAGAGUGAAAGCUUUUGUAGUGGUCACGAGAGUAGUGAAAGUUUUUGUCUUUUUGCAUCACGGGCACAUUAUCAUUCUCCUAUCUAUUAUAUAUUGUCAAGAGUAGCAGCGUAGUUCUCCCAUCUCUCUCCAUUGUCUUUCUAAACCAAGUCUAUUUUCUAUUCUCUCAUCUCUCUCCAUUGCCUCUCAAAACCAAGUCUAUUUUCUAUUCUCCCAUCUCUCUCCAUUCUCUCCAUUAUCUUUCUCAAAAAAAUCUAUCUCAUGGCAUCUUCUUCUCACAACAAUUUUCAAGACUCGUUUGAUGAAGAGUAUGAUCAAUUUUUUGAUCAAUAUUUGGAUCAGACAUUCGAGAAUUUAAUCAUUGCUAACAGUGAUCAAGAAGGCGAAAAGAAGACAAGAAAAAAAAGAGUUUUUAUCGAAAGAAACCGUGAAGAUGGUCAUUUCCGGUUGUGGAAGGAUUAUUUUAGUGACGCUCCAACGUAUCCAGAAAAUCUAUUCCGACGACGAUUUCGAAUGAACAAACCAUUGUUUAUGCAUACUGUUGAUCGUCUCUCAAAUGAAGUUCAAUUCUUUCGUCAGAAGAAAGACGGUAUCGGAAGGCUUGGUCUCUCUACACUUCAGAAGUGUACGGCAGCUAUUCGUGUGUUGGCAUAUGGUUCUGCGCUUGAUGCGGUCGACGAAUACCUCAAGCUCGGUUCAACCACUACUCGGUUAUGUGUGGAAGAUUUUGUGGAAGCAAUAAUAGAUUUGUUCGGCGAUCAGUACCUAAGAAGAACAACACAAGAUGAUCUUCAACGUCUACUUCAUAUUGGAGAGCUUCGUGGAUUUCCUGGGAUGAUAGGAAGCAUCGAUUGUAUGCAUUGGGAGUGGAAGAAUUGUCCCACCGCUUGGAAAGGGACCGACUAUCGUUUUAGAGGCGGUUGCUUCAUAUGAUCUUUGGAUAUGGCAUGCGUUUUUUGGACCUCCAGGUACCUUAAAUGAUAUCAAUGUUCUUGAUCGCUCACCUAUUUUUGAUGACAUAUAGAUGGUCAAGCUCUGCAAGUGAAUUUCUCGGUCAACAGAAGAGAUUAUCAUCUGGCUUACUAUCUCACCGAUGGCAUUUAUCCGAAAUGAGCAACUUUUAUCCAAUCUAUUCCAAUUCCACAAGGGCCUAAAGCAGUUUUAUUUGCUCAAAGUCAAGAAGCUGCCCGAAAAGAUGUCGAACGUGCUUUCGGAGUCUUGCAAGCUCGAUUUGCCAUUGUUAAAAAUCUGGCACUUUCUUGGGAUAAAGUCAAAAUUGGAAAGAUUAUGAGAGCAUGUAUCAUACUCCAUAAUAUGAUAGUAGAAAACGAACGAGAUGACUACACUCUACACGAUGUUUCUGAUUUUCAACAAGUAGAAGGAAGCGGAAGUUCACAUGUCGAUCUCACAUAUUCAACAGAUAUCCCUACUAAUAUCACCAAUAUGAUGGGUGUUCGAACAAGAAUUCGUGAUAGACAAACACAUCAACGACUGAAAGGUGAUUUGGUUGAACAUAUAUGGCGUAAAUUUGGACAUGAUCAAGAUACCAACUGAGUUUCGAUGUCUCUUUCAAAUUAUUAUCGUUUGUUUUAGUAAUCUUUGUUUUCAUGCUUUUAUGUUUCUAUUUUAAAAUUUAUGUUUAACUAUGUUUAAUUUAAUUAAUAAAUUUUAUAUUUUAAAAACAAAAUUAUGUUUAAUAUAUUUUUAUUGUUAAGCAACUUAAGUUAAGCAACUAUCAAUAAACCAAUAUCAUUAAGUGUUUCUUAAGAUUAUCUCUUAUCUUUACUUUAAUACGUAAAUAUUCAUUAACAACCACUUAAGCAACGCUAGCAAUAAACAUGCUCUUGCUAUCUAAGUGGAGGUAAAGUACCUUAUUUUUUUCUCAUGUACUUCUACGAGGAAUCAGUUAAGCUACUUACUAUUCUCUUUUUACUCUAUAGUUUUUACUCUAAAUUACUCUACUUUAAUUACUCUCAUUUAAUCCAGUGUUUGUCAAUCACACUCUAAAGUCUAAAUGUGUGAUUGGCAUUAACUAGAGUAAAAUGGUAGAAAUAAAAAAGUGUAAAUGAGUGGAAAACCAAAAAUGAAACUCAGGGUAAAUUCUUUCUCUCACUUAACCUAAAAAAAUGCAUUGCUCUACUUUUACACUAUUUUUCUCUUUCCCUAACGUAAGUGGGCUGAAUAAAUAUUUAACUUGAUUGGACAAAAAUAGCGAAAUUCAGCUGAAUAAUUUGUUACUCAAAUUUAUCAACGUUCAUUGUGUCAUCCAGUCAUACUCUAAGAGUAAAUUAAACACUCUCAAUUGGAGUAACUUAGAAUAAAAUAGUAAAAUAAAUAAAAUAACAAAACAAAUAAAUGUUAAAUACAGCUUAACUUAAUUUUUCUCUUCCAACAUAGUGAGAGAAUAAAGUGAUCUACUUACCUUCGGUCAAACUAAAUAUUGUAUUCAUUCAUAAUGUUUUUUCUUUGUGUAUACAGAUCUCACCCGCUAUACAUUUAUUGUUGUUUGCUAAAGAUAUAUAAAUAUUUAGUUUUAAAUAUAUUUAUUUGUUUUUAUAAAUACAAUAUUUUCAUUCUAUUUCACUUACAAUUUUGACAAUAUAAAACUCUCAUUGUCUAUAUAUUUAUCUUUCUUAUUUCGUCAUAUAACUUUACAUUUAUUUAAAUUAUUAUAUUUAUAAAAUGUGUGUUUAAUUAUAAUAUGUACUAUGCAAAAUAUAGUAAUAUAAUUUAAAUAUGUAUUCUAGUAGAAGAUAUAUAUAUAUAUCAUUAAAUUUUAAUGUUUUCAUAUAUUGAUUUCAAAAUUGUAGUAACAUGGUUUUAGUGCAAGAUUUAUUGUUGUUUAUAUAUUAUAUUUCUAUACUAUGUUUUAAUAUAUUUUAUUGCAAUUUUUAUUAUUUAAGCAUAUCUUUAUUUUAUUUGAACUAUUUUUAUCAAUGUUUUAAAAGCGGUGGAUAAGCGCCUUAUAGAGGAUUGCUGUUUAUGCAGAUACAUAGGACGGUUUUUUAAACGCCUAGACCAACUUUUUAAUAAAUCGGUUUGGAAAAACUGUUUCGUUCAUACCUGAUUUGUUGACUAGGUGGCACCUAAACCGAUUAUUAGAACACUUAUUUUUAUCAUUUAAAAUUAAAAUAAUUUUUUAAGUCUAUCUCUCUUGCAUGAUCCGUUUGAUCUGCGUAAUUUAUUUUGAUCUGCACCAUUUGAAUUGAUUCUAGGGAAAUAUGGGUAAUAGGUGCAAUAUAAAUAUAUUGUAGCUCCAAUAAUUUAUCAGCUAUUUACGAAUAUUCUUUUCUACUAAAAAGAGUAAAUAAAGAUUAUACUAAAAGAAGUCCAAAAGAGAGAGAGGGCUAGACCAGUACGGGUUACAUCAGCCAUCCCUAAGCACAGAUCCAGUCAAAGAGGCGGGUUCAUUACUCUCUUCUACCGAAAAUACUUCAAUAACUUUUUGAUCAAAAAAAAAGUUAUUUUACAACAAAAGUUAAUUCUUCUCCGAACCAUUUUAUUAUUAGAGAAAUAAUUUUACAAAAUAACUUUAACGAAAAAAUAAUCAAAAUAAAUUUCAUUAAAAAAUAAAUAACUAAAUAUAUAUUUAUAGCUUCAGAAUUAACUAGUUUAGAUUCAAGGUGUAGAGUUAAGAAAUUGAGUUUUGGAGAUGACAUUUUGUUUUUUUUUUAAAUUUAAAAUAAAUAUUAAAAUUUUAAAACCUGAAAAAAUCAAAAACAUAUAAUUCGAAACUAUCAAAAAGUUACUCUUAUAUGUUUUUUAAUUUUAGAAAACUUUUUUAUUAUUUGUUUAUAUUUGUAUAUCUACAAAACAAUAGGUAAAAUGUUUUUUUUUUUCCUUUUUAAUUAAAUCUUGUUUGGUCAUUUUCAUCUUUGAUAGCUCUUUUUACGACGAAAAAAAUAAAAUAGACUAUUUGAAAGAAUUGCUUUUAUUAUUGUUGUUAAUAUGAAGACAAUACCCCUAAUAAAGCAUUCUAAACCGAUAACAUUUUAUCAUUUAGUUUACUUAAAUUUAUGUUAUUUAUGAAAACUCUAGAAUUGAUCUUCACCAAUGGAGACCCAGCAUCACUCCGUGGUAUCUUCGCCACACUAGAUGAGUUCGCAGCGAUUUCGGGUCUCAUAAUAAACCCUGCAAAAUCGUUAAUCUUCAUGGCAGGAAGAAUCACUCAAGCUUUUCAAGCAGAGGUAAACCGACUGGGCAUACCAGUAGACAUUCUCCCAGUUCGAUAUCUUGGUCUUCCCCUUACUACAAAAUCAAUGUCUCGAGCAGACUACGAGCCU